UUGAUACUUCCUCCAUCCAACAAAAGAUGUUUCAACUUUAACUAAAUUUGAAUGCAUAUAUACACUAAAUCAUGUAUAGAUACAUCCAAAUUUUGACAAACUUGAGACAUCUUUUGUUGGACGGAAAGUACAAG
rfam:Brachypodium distachyon strain Bd21 chromosome 5, whole genome shotgun sequence.